rnacentral:rRNA from 1 species
AUGGCCGAGCACUCGACCGCCUUCGCCACUUCUUCGGCCACCAGCUCGGCCACCUCGUCGGGGACUCUCUCCGGCUCGUCCACCGGCGCCGGCACCACCGCCGGCACGUCCUCUCCCUUCAUCUUCGGCACCAUCCCCUCUUCCCAUAGUGGCUCCUCCCCCUCGCUCGGUUCUCAGUUCGCCCCCCUAUUCCCCAACUCCACGGCGCCGCCGCUCUCCUUCGCCGCCGCUCCCUCCUCCCACCGCAUUUUCCGCGACAGCAUCCAGAACCACAUCAAGUUUAUUCUCAACCCCGACGAUCACAACUACCACAAGUGGAAGUCAUUCUUCCUCCUUGUUCUGAUCCGCUAUGGCGUCUCUCAGUUCAUCGAACAGCCCCUUCCCCCUAACGCCACCACGUUCCAGCGCGAGCUCGACGCCCACCUCGUGCUCUGGAUCUACUCCACCCUCGCCGACAACCUUUUCGAUCACGUCGUCGGGGCCACCACCACCUACGAUCUCUGGCAUCGCAUUCGCGACUACUUCCUAGCGAACCGCGCGGCGCGGUACAUGAUGUUGAACCGGCAAUACCGCAACCUCAAACAGGGGGAUCUCCCCGUUGCCGAGUAUGCCCGCCGUAUGAAGCUUCUCACCGCCGGCCUAGCCGACAUCGAGCACGCCGUCACCGAGGUGGAUCUCACCACUCAGUUUCUUCACGGCAUCGACAAACGUCUCGACACCAUCCGCGUCGUGCUCGGGGACACGGUUCCUCUGCCACCGUUCGAGAUGGUGUUCUCUCGCCUGAAGCUCGCCGAGGAGAACCUCGCCCAGCGCGCGGCGGCCCCUCCGGCAGUUCCUCUGGAUCCAGCGGCUCCGGUCCUCGCCCCAUCGACCGCGCUGAUCGCUCCAAUGAUCGGGGCCCCGCCUCUCCGGACGGCCGUGGCUCUGGCAACCGCGCUGAUCGCUCCAAUGAUCGGGGCCCCGCCUCUCCGGACGACCGUGGCUCUGGCAACCGCGCUGAUGGUGGCAACCGCGGUGGAUGUGGCCGUGGGCGCGGUGAUCAUGGUGGACGCGGCAACCCCCCGCCCGUGUCCUACAAUCCCUACAUGGGGUUCUUCACGCCUUACGGGAUGGCCCUCCCGAACCAGCGUCCUGGCUGGGUCCCUCCCAACGCCGCCGGCGUGCUCGGCCCGCGGCCAGGGUCCCAUGCGCAGCCGUAUCUGA